CAUCCAAAUAUCCAAUGCCCUAAAUCCUAAUCCCUAUUUCCCUUGGAAUCCCUAAUUCUGUCAUUUCCUCGGCAGACGGCAGCUCGUCUGAGAAUUCGACCAAUCCACAGGCACUGACGACGCACGACGCCCGGAACUUCUGCAUCGGCGACACUUCCGGUCACUCCUCAGACUCCACAGACGACGCUCUCCGUGCGGACCGACCUCAGUCCUCACAUCCUCUGGCUUGCUGAAGAACCUAAAGGUUCAACGUUCCUUAAAACAUAAAACUGAAGAGCUUACCAUGGAACAGUCGGGCAUCGACCUUCGAGUUGAGGAAGGAAUUAGAUCGCAGGAAAGUGAAAGUGCAGGAAGUGUUACAGGCUCCGUGGCUCCAGGUUCUGUUGAUGAAGGCAAAUCGAGUGAAAACAAUAAAGGAAAAGGAAGGCUAGGUAAAGUCACCAAAUCUUCUAAAUUUAAAAAGAAGCCAAAGGAAAACACAAAAGAUUUCUGUUGGGUGUGUAGCGGUCCACAUUUAAAAAAGGAUUGCAAAAUUUGGAAGGAAAAGAGGGCACAGCGAACUCAAAGCCAAGGUAAUAGUGAUCAUGGUCAUGGAAGUAGCCAAGAGAAGUAAGAAUGAUGAUUCAUGGUGGCUAGACCACCGGGGCAACAAGAUAUGUUUGCAAGGAUGUGCAUCUUUAUAAAGAAUUGAUGAAAGAUGGUCUAACAUUGUACAUGAGAAAUGAUUCCAUGGUGAAAGUCCAAGGCACUAGACAAGUUGAACUAGCUUCAAAUUAGUAUUUGAAGUGGAUAGAUUUAUUUUAUCCAAAGCUGGUGUAUUUGUUAGACAAAGGUUUCAUGUGUAAUAGUAUGUUGUAUGUUCAAAUUAAAUAUAAAUAAAUUUGUUUGUUCCGUUUA